rnacentral:tRNA from 1 species
GCAGUCGUGGCCGAGUGGUAAAGGCGGUGGACUCGAAAUACAUUGGGGUCUCCCCGCACGGGUUCGAAUCCUGUCGGCUGCG